AAACACAAAUAAAUAAACAAAAAUAGGAGUAUAUGUCAUGUUAAGGUUGAAUGUACUAUCGAAAAACUUUUUGGCUUAAAAAAUUCAUCAAUGGUGGUGUUUAUUUUUUUUAAAUUUUAUCAAAGAAAUCCACUUGAUUUUAGAUUUUUCCAAAAUAAAGCAAAGACCACGCGCUCUGAAUCCACUUGCCCAACAAAACCCAGUCGCGUCCUUGCCCAUUGGACAGUCACAAGGCGGCGAGUGCACACCACUCGAAGCCAGACGCGUGUUUUCUCUCUCUUUUUUCUGAGUAAAAUUUGCUAAAAAAAUAAAAAUCAUUUACUCUGUACAGACACACAAACGAAAAAAGAGUCGGAGAGAGAGAAAGAGCGAUCGGAGAGAGAGAGAGACAUACAGAGGGGUUGGAUUCUUCAAUCUCCGAUUUAGAGAGAGAGAUAUGUAUAUACAGAGAUUCAGCGACUUUUAGUGAGAGAAAGUAAGGCGAAAUCUAAAUGCUGGGAGAGAGAGACAGCAAAGAAAGCGAUUGAACGAGCAAUGGAGGAAGAAGCUACAAGGAUUUCCACGAGCAAGUCUCCACCGAAGCUCUUCCUUAUCUGAAUUUCAAGUUUCUAUCAGAUUCUGAAGGGAGAUUUUAAUUUUACUCAAUGGGUAAAAGAAUAGCUUGUCUGUCUUCAUUCCUUGCAUUCUUGAGUUAGAUGUGCAGUUGCAUGGUUGAAGACUCCCAACGACUUACUUCUUGGGUAUGGAAGAUAUCUGAAAUUUCCUUUUCGGGCAACAAAUAUCACAUAGUCGAUCGGUUUGUAAAAUGCAGUCAGGAAGUUUUUGUUACCUAAGGAUAUCCGUUCCUUCUCCUUUAAUACAAGUUGUUCAUCAGUUAUGAGUGCAUCGAUGCUUGAAUCUCUUCAGCACUAGGCAUAUGUUUGUAAUUGUAGAUGGGGGAUGAAAGGUGUGUUAUGUAUGGCAUAUACGACCAUCAUUUGACAAAUUCCCAGUACUAGCUAUAUUGAGCA